AUUGGACAUCGGGAAGAAUUUUUUCACAGAAAGGGUGAUUAGACAUUGGAAUGGGCUGCCCGGGGAGGUGGUGGAGUCACUGUCCGUGGAGAUGUUUAAGGAAAGUCUGGACGUGGCACUCGGUGACGGGGUCUGACGGACGCAGUGGUGACUGGUUAUGGGUGGGAAUCGAUGAUCUCAGAGGUCUUUCCCAACCUGAUUGAUUCUGUGACUCUGUGUGGUUCUGUAAUAUUUCUGACUUAUUAAGUGUAUCGUAGCUUAAAACAUCUCCACCCGUGGCUUUCCACCCCGGGUGCCUGGACCACAUUUCAGUGCUGGGGAGGUACCUGGGCCACGUUCGAUGCUGGGGAGGUGCCACACUGGUGCAGCGCCCUUGGCAAGCACAGAGGUGCCAAAGGCCAAGUGUCGCUCCUGAACUAGGCUGUGAUUUCCCUCUUCAACGAAUGUUUUCCCCAUUUCGCCUGCAGACAUUUCCCAGAGGUGCUUGAGCUUCCCUCUGCUCGGUGGUGACACCCAGUUAUGGCAGAAACCCCCGUGCCCCCUGCCUGCCAUAAAUAACACACAGCACCCUGCAGCUCAGCUCUCCUGUGACCCCCACAUCCAACACCUGCCAGCCAAGAACACUAUGUAGAUGUUCUCCGGAUAGGACCAGAGCAAAUUUGUAUAGCUGUCCUGGGUAAUUACAGGAUAAUUACAGGCAUGAUUUAUAGGUCGCUUCAUUUAUUGCCAGUUAACUGACUCGUUCGAGCUGAGCAGGGUCAGCAGAUAAUGGGAAUCUGGCCAUUUUUGGGGGAAAAGACACAGUGCAAAUGCCAAGGAAAUAUGGCCAGGAGGCACUUGGAAAGCCAAGUGAGUGACUGGGAAAUGGUAAAAAUGAACCUCUCAGCCCUCUUGGGUGGGGCACACAGGGCACGCUGCACCUGAGCUCCGCCAACUCCUGUUUGUCCAGCGAGUGCACCAACCACCUGACACAUUCCCGGUUGCUCCUCCGGAGCUUUGUUUCCUGUGACCAACACCCAUUUGCACUAUUUCCUAGACAAGCAAGGGCUCAUCAGCGAGUGCCAUCGGUCCCACUCCUGCUUUCCCUUUGAACUGUCUCUGCGGGCUGGGGAACAGCCAAGUUCAAACAACCCGUGCUCGGGCAUCAGCCUGGGAGGACAUAGAGCAUUAACGGAUUUAAUAGCACCAAACAGAUCAAAGCUUUCAAAUUGCAUAAUUAAAAAAUAUCCCCGAGGCACCAGUCUGUGAUACCACAGGACGCCAACAUGGGGUGCAGAAACCUGUGACUACAUUCAUCUGAAAUAUUUCCCAAGUGUUUAAAAAGGUGUAAAAAUCCACUAUUUAUUUUAUUUUAAAACACAUUUUAUUCCAACAUAUGAACCAUGUGUAGUGGAACAAUGGCUGUGCAAGCAGGACAUGGGGCAGGGAGAACCCUGUUUCUUAAAAUAAAGAUUAAAAUAAAAUAUUUUUUUUAAUUCUAUGCCUUUCUCUC